rnacentral:rRNA from 1 species
AACGAACGCUGGCGGCAGGCCUAACACAUCCACGUCGAGCGCUCUAGCAAUAGGGAGCGGCGCACGGGCGAGUAACGCGUAGGAAUCUACCUUGUAGUACGGAACAACAGGUGGAAACGGCUGCUAAUACCGUAUACGCCCUUCGGGGGAAAGAAUUUCGCUAUAAGAUGAGCCUGCGUUAGAUUAGCGAGUUGGUGAGGUAAUGGGUCAGCAAGGCUCCGAUCGAUAGCGGGGCUGGGGGGCGGAUCAGCCACACUGGGACUGGUACACGGCCCAGACUCCUACGGGAGGCAGCAGUGGGGAAUAUUGGGCAAUGGGCGCAAGCCGGACCCAGCCAUGCCGCGUGAGUGAUGACGGCCUUAGGGUUGUAAAGCUCUUUUAGUGGUGAGGAUGAUGACGGUAACCACAGAAAAAGCCCCGGCUAACUUCGUGCCAGCCGCCGCGGUAA